rnacentral:rRNA from 1 species
UACGUAGGGUGCGAGCGUUGUCCGGAAUUAUUGGGCGUAAAGAGCUCGUAGGCGGUCUGUCGCGUCGAUCGUGAAAACCCGGGGCUCAACCCCGGGCCUGCAGUCGAUACGGGCAGACUAGAGUGCGGUAGGGGAGACUGGAAUUCCUGGUGUAGCGGUGAAAUGCGCAGAUAUCAGGAGGAACACCGGUGGCGAAGGCGGGUCUCUGGGCCGUAACUGACGCUGAGGAGCGAAAGCGUGGGGAGCGAACAGG